UUAGGAAACCUAUUAGGCGCCAACAAUUGGAGUCCUUAUACCUACAUUAACACACCCCAAAAUACACCCAAGGAAUGCCCCAUAUGAGAUCCAUAGGCCCUCUAAUCAUGGGACACGCCCAACUUGAUUAAAUCAAGGUGGUGCCCAAGAAUAACUAUCAAGAAAAUUAAUUAGAGAGUUGCACCCUUAAUUCAUAUGAUCCAAACCCUUAGACACCCA
rnacentral:lncRNA from 1 species